GGGUCGGUACCGAAGUGGUCAAACGGGACAGACUGUAAAUCUGUUGGCUUUAGCCUUCGGGGGUUCGAAUCCCUCCCGGCCCACCA
rnacentral:tRNA from 1 species